CUCCCCCUCCUCUAUGUUGUGUCGCAGAUGAGCUCAGCCGGUUGCCUUCUGGGUCAAAAUACCGGGGGGACCGGUAGUCCGUUGGGUGACAGAACACGAGGGGAGACAGAGGUGGGCAAUAAAUGUCCCCAGCUGUGUCUCGACCAGUAGCCCAACAGGACACCCAAAGGCAAUGGACCUAUUCUUGAUUGCACAGUGGCUGGCCGGUUGGCUGUCUUUGCCCACCGGUAGCCCGGAUCAUCCGUGCUGCGCGCCCGCAGGUCAAAGCGCUGCCAUUCAAAGUCUGACGUUGACGCGAAAGCAGCGCGCCUCUGCAGCUUGAUGUACACUUUGAAUGACUCACGAUGAAAAAUAAAAGUAUGGGCUGUGACACAGGCAA